GUCGUCCCGCCCCUCUCAGCGCCCCCUCCUGGCUGGGUGGGGGCCCCUCUUGGCUGAGCUGGGGUGCCCCCCCUCCCCACCCAAGGCCGGCCCUUUCCUGUGGAGUCAUCUCACCGCCCUGCGCACCCACUCGUAACUCGCACCCGGGUCCUGGCUGCGCCGCAUCCUCUCCUGCACCCCCUGGAUGGCCCUUCAGCCAAAGGGGGCCUGGGUGAUGGUCGACCACCGAGCUGCGGAAGGAAAAGUCCCGGGAUGCGGCCCGCAGCCGGCGCAGCCAGGAGACCGAGGUGCUGUACCAGCUGGCUCACACGCUGCCCUUCGCCCGCGGCGUCAGCGCCCACCUGGACAAGGCCUCUAUCAUGCGCCUCACCAUCAGUUACCUGCGCAUGCACCGCCUCUGCGCCGCAGGUGAGCCCCGCCCGCGGGAAUUCCCGUCUUGGUCAGGCCCCGCCCACGGAAAAACUACAUCCCCUCCUCCGGGAAGCCUUAUUCCGA
rnacentral:sRNA from 1 species